AUUGAACGCUGGCGGCAUGCCUUACACAUGCAAGUCGAACGGCAGCACGGGUGCUUGCACCUGGUGGCGAGUGGCGAACGGGUGAGUAAUACAUCGGAACGUACCUUAUCGUGGGGGAUAACGCAGCGAAAGCUGUGCUAAUACCGCAUACGCCCUGAGGGGGAAAGCGGGGGAUCGCAAGACCUCGCGCGAUUAGAGCGGCCGAUGCCUGAUUAGCUUGUUGGUGGGGUAAAAGCCCACCAAGGCGACGAUCAGUAGCUGGUCUGAGAGGACGAUCAGCCACACUGGGACUGGGACACGGCCCAGACUCCUACGGGAGGCAGCAGUGGGGAAUUUUGGACAAUGGGGGCAACCCUGAUCCAGCAAUGCCGCGUGAGUGAAGAAGGCCUUCGGGUUGUAAAGCUCUUUUGUCAGGGAAGAAACACCGGCUCUAACACAGCCUGGGAACGACGGUACCUGAAGAAUAAGCACCGGCUAACUACGUGCCAGCCGCCGCGGUAA
rnacentral:rRNA from 1 species